UCCUUCUUAGCUCAAUUGGUAGAGCCUGUCAUUAUAGUUCAAAAGUAGAAAUCCUGUCUUAUGAUGACAAGGUUAGCCGUUCGAAUCGGCUAGAAGGAA